rnacentral:rRNA from 1 species
AUUGAACGCUGGCGGCAUGCUUUACACAUGCAAGUCGAACGGUAACAGGCCGCAAGGUGCUGACGAGUGGCGAACGGGUGAGUAAUGCAUCGGAACGUGCCCAGUCGUGGGGGAUAACGCAGCGAAAGCUGCGCUAAUACCGCAUACGAUCUAUGGAUGAAAGCGGGGGACCGGAAGGCCUCGCGCGAUUGGAGCGGCGGAUGUCGGAUUAGGUAGUUGGUGGGGUAAAGGCUCACCAAGCCAACGAUCUGUAGCUGGUCUGAGAGGACGACCAGCCACACUGGGACUGAGACACGGCCCAGACUCCUACGGGAGGCAGCAGUGGGGAAUUUUGGACAAUGGGCGCAAGCCUGAUCCAGCAAUGCCGCGUGCAGGAAGAAGGCCUUCGGGUUGUAAACUGCUUUUGUACGGAACGAAAAGGCUCUGGUUAAUACCUGGGGCUCAUGACGGUACCGUAAGAAUAAGCACCGGCUAACUACGUGCCAGCAGCCGCAGUAACAC